rnacentral:siRNA from 1 species
CUUACUAGGAAUUCCUCGUUG